rnacentral:rRNA from 1 species
AUGAACGCUAGCUACAGGCCUAACACAUGCAAGUCGAGGGGCAGCAUGAUUGAAGCUUGCUUCAAUUGAUGGCGACCGGCGCACGGGUGAGUAACACGUAUCCAACCUUCCGCUGACUCGGGGAUAGCCUUUCGAAAGAAAGAUUAAUACCCGAUAGCAAAGGAUUUCCGCAUGGAUAUUCUUUUAAAGGAUUCCGGUCAGCGAUGGGGAUGCGUUCCAUUAGAUAGUUGGCGGGGUAACGGCCCACCAAGUCGACGAUGGAUAGGGGUUCUGAGAGGAAGGUCCCCCACAUUGGAACUGAGACACGGUCCAAACUCCUACGGGAGGCAGCAGUGAGGAAUAUUGGUCAAUGGGCGAGAGCCUGAACCAGCCAAGUAGCGUGAAGGAAGACUGCCCUAUGGGUUGUAAACUUCUUUUAUACGGGAAUAAAGUCAUCCACGUGUGGAUGUUUGUAUGUACCGUAUGAAUAAGGAUCGGCUAACUCCGUGCCAGCAGCCGCGGUAAUACGGAGGAUCCGAGCGUUAUCCGGAUUUAUUGGGUUUAAAGGGAGCGUAGGCGGGCUUUUAAGUCAGUUGUGAAAGUUUGCGGCUCAACCGUAAAAUUGCAGUUGAUACUGGAAGCCUUGAGUACAGUAGAGGCAGGCGGAAUUCGUGGUGUAGCGGUGAAAUGCUUAGAUAUCACGAAGAACUCCGAUUGCGAAGGCAGCUUGCUGGACUGUAACUGACGCUGAUGCUCGAAAGUGUGGGUAUCAAACAGGAUUAGAUACCCUGGUAGUCCACGCAGUAAACGAUGAUAACUCGUUGUCGGCGAUACACAGUCGGUGACUAAGCGAAAGCGAUAAGUUAUCCACCUGGGGAGUACGUUCGCAAGAAUGAAACUCAAAGGAAUUGACGGGGGCCCGCACAAGCGGUGGAGCAUGUGGUUUAAUUCGAAGCAACGCGAAGAACCUUACCAGGUCUUGACAUCCUUCUGACCGCACCUUAAUCGGUGCUUUCCUUCGGGACAGAAGAGACAGGUGGUGCAUGGUUGUCGUCAGCUCGUGUCGUGAGAUGUUGGGUUAAGUCCCGCAACGAGCGCAACCCUUAUCUUCAGUUACUAACGGGUAAGGCUGAGGACUCUGAAGAGACUGCCGGGGACAACUCGGAGGAAGGUGGGGACGACGUCAAAUCAGCACGGCCCUUACGUCCGGGGCUACACACGUGUUACAAUGGGGGGUACAGCAGGCCGCUACCUGGCGACAGGAUGCCAAUCUCCAAAACCCCUCUCAGUUCGGACUGGAGUCUGCAACCCGACUCCACGAAGCUGGAUUCGCUAGUAAUCGCGCAUCAGCCACGGCGCGGUGAAUACGUUCCCGGGCCUUGUACACACCGCCCGUCACACCAUGGGAGCCGGUAAUACCCGAAGUCAGUAGUCUAACCGCAAGGAGGACGCUGCCGAAGGUAGGAUUGGCGACUGGGGUG